rnacentral:rRNA from 1 species
CGGAGUCUGNAACCCGACUCCGUGAAGCUGGAUUCGCUAGUAAUCGCGCAUCAGCCAUGGCGCGGUGAAUACGUUCCCGGGCCUUGUACACACCGCCCGUCAAGCCAUGGGAGCCGGGGGUGCUUGAAGUGCGUCGCCGCAAGGCGCGCCCUAGAGCAAAACCGGUGACUGGGGCUAAGUCGUAACAAGGUAAC